rnacentral:lncRNA from 1 species
UUCUGACUAUGCUUUUCAUUCACUAGAAGAAAAAUAUUGAAUUUCUGUCAGUUGGCCAGCAGUGGAAGGAGACCGGCCAUAACUGCAGGAUGCAGUUCUGCACACGCAUCCACAAGCACACCCAACCUCCCCAAAAGCAAGCAGCUCCCUGGUCUGUGAGCAAGUCUUCACCAGUACCUGGCUGCAACAGCAUUGCUGAGGAAGGCAUCAUUAUUCCCAGGAAUGAUCCCCAGCCCUGCAAGGUGCUGGCUGCUGAGUGGUGCAUCACCCUUUGCCAGCAGAACUCACACACGGCUGCGGCUGCGUUUGU